rnacentral:misc_RNA from 1 species
AAGUCGUAACAAGGUUUCCGUAGGUGAACCUGCGGAAGGAUCAUUAUCGAACAAAGACGGCGUGACCGUCGCGGUUUUUCCAACCGUUUCUCCCUUGCUUAUCUGUACCUUUGUUUCCUCGGCGGGUUCGCCCGCCGCUGGACCCUUUGUUCAACGCUUCUGCUGUACCCAGUGUUGUCUGAGCGUUACGCACCAAUUGUCAAAACUUUCAACAACGGAUCUCUUGGUUCUG